UUUGGGGUUAUGAUUUUGAGUUCAGGGGUUUAGGGUUAUGAGUUAUGAGUUUGGGUUCAUGUUUUGGUUUAGGGUUCAAGGAUUCUUGGUUACGGGUUCAGUGUUCAAGUUUAGGAUUUUGGGUUUAAAGUUUUGAGUUCAAGGUUCAAGAUUCUAAAUUUAGGGUUCAUGAUUUUGAGUUUGGGGUUCAAAGUAAAAAAAAUAC
rnacentral:lncRNA from 1 species